rnacentral:rRNA from 1 species
UACGGAGGGUGCGAGCGUUGUCCGGAAUUACUGGGCGUAAAGGGUCUGUAGGUGGCUAACUAAGUCAGACGUGAAAUCCCUCAGCUUAACUGGGGAACUGCGUCUGAUACUGGAUGGCUUGAGUGUGGGAGAGGAAUGCGGAAUUCCAGGUGUAGCGGUGAAAUGCGUAGAUAUCUGGAGGAACACCGGUGGCGAAGGCGGCAUUCUGGACCAUAACUGACACUGAGAGACGAAAGCCAGGGGAGCAAACGGG